rnacentral:rRNA from 1 species
UAGCUAGUUGGUAAGGUAACGGCUUACCAAGGCGAUGAUGCAUAGCCGAGUUGAGAGACUGAUCGGCCACAUUGGGACUGAGACACGGCCCAAACUCCUACGGGAGGCAGCAGUAGGGAAUCUUCCACAAUGGACGCAAGUCUGAUGGAGCAACGCCGCGUGAGUGAAGAAGGUUUUCGGAUCGUAAAGCUCUGUUGUUGGUGAAGAAGGAUAGAGGUAGUAACUGGCCUUUAUUUGACGGUAAUCAACCAGAAAGUCACGGCUAACUACGUGCCAGCAGCCGCGGUAAUACGUAGGUGGCAAGCGUUGUCCGGAUUUAUUGGGCGUAAAGCGAGCGCAGGCGGAAAAAUAAGUCUGAUGUGAAAGCCCUCGGCUUAACCGAGGAACUGCAUCGGAAACUGUUUUUCUUGAGUGCAGAAGAGGAGAGUGGAACUCCAUGUGUAGCGGUGGAAUGCGUAGAUAUAUGGAAGAACACCAGUGGCGAAGGCGGCUCUCUGGUCUGCAACUGACGCUGAGGCUCGAAAGCAUGGGUAGCGAACAGGAUUAGAUACCCUGGUAGUCCAUGCCGUAAACGAUGAGUGCUAAGUGUUGGGAGGUUUCCGCCUCUCAGUGCUGCAGCUAACGC